GUCGCAAGAUUAAAACUCAAAUGAAUUGACGGGGGCCCGCACAAGCGGUGGAGCAUGUGGUUUAAUUCGAUGCAACGCGAAAAACCUUACCAGGCCUUGACAUCCUGAGAACUUUCUAGAGAUAGAUCGGUGCCUUCGGGAGCUCAGUGACAGGUGUUGCAUGGCUGUCGUCAGCUCGUGUCGUGAGAUGUUGGGUUAAGUCCCGUAACGAGCGCAACCCUUAUCCUUAUUUGCCAGCACUUCGGGUGGGAACUCUAAGGAGACUGCCGGUGACAAACCGGAGGAAGGAGAGGAUGAUGUCAAGUCAGCAUGGCCUUUAUGCCUGGGGCUACACACGUGCUACAAUGACCGGUACAAAGGGUUGCAAACCCGUGAGGGGGAGCCAAUCCCAAAAAACCGGCCUCAGUGCAGAUCGGGGUCUGCAACUCGACCCCGUGAAGGCGGAAUCGCUAGUAAUUGCGGAUCAGAACGCCGCGGUGAAUACGUUCCCGGGCCUUGUACACACCGCCCGUCACACCACGAAAGCCCGUUGUACCAGAAGUCGCUGGAGCCAACCCGCAAGGGAGGCAGGCGCCCAAGGUAUGGCUGGUGAUUGGGGUG
rnacentral:rRNA from 1 species